GACGAACGCUGGCGGCGUGCCUAAUACAUGCAAGUAGAACGCUGAAGGAGGAUAUUGCUCCUCAGGAGGAGUGGCGAAAGGGUGAGUAUCGCGUAGGUAACCUGCCUCUUAGCGGGGGGUAACUAUUGGAAACGAGAGCUAAUAUCGCACAUGAGAACAUGAUGCAUGACAUUUGCGUAAAAGGUGUAAUUGUAUAUCUACCAGAUGGACCUGCGUUGUAUUAGCUAGUUGGUGGGGUAACGGCUCACCAAGGCGAUGAUACAUAGCCGACCUGAGAGGGUGAUCGGCCACACUGGGACUGAGACACGGCCCAGACUCCUACGGGAGGCAGCAGUAGGGAAUCUUCGGCAAUGGACGGAAGUCUGACCGAGCAACGCCGCGUGAGUGAAGAAGGUUUUCGGAUCGUAAAGCUCUGUUGUUAGAGAAGAACGAGUGUGAGAGUGGAAAGUUCACCCAGUGACGGUAUCUUCCCAGAAAGGGACGGCUAACUACGUG
rnacentral:rRNA from 1 species